rnacentral:rRNA from 1 species
GAUGAACGCUGGCGGCGUGCCUAAUACAUGCAAGUCGAGCGAACGGACGAGAAGCUUGCUUCUCUGAUGUUAGCGGCGGACGGGUGAGUAACACGUGGAUAACCUACCUAUAAGACUGGGAUAACUUCGGGAAACCGUAGCUAAUACCGGAUAAUAUUUUGAACCGCAUGGUUCAAAAGUGAAAGACGGUCUUGCUGUCACUUAUAGAUGGAUCCGCGCUGCAUUAGCUAGUUGGUAAGGUAACGGCUUACCAAGGCAACGAUGCAUAGCCGACCUGAGAGGGGGAUCGGCCACACUGGAACUGAGACGCGGUCCAGACUCCUACGGGAGGCAGCAGUAGGGAAUCUUCCGCAAUGGGCGAAAGCCUGACGGAGCAGCGCCGCGUGAGUGAUGAAGGUCUUCGGAUCGUAAAACUCUGUUAUUAGGGAAGAACAUAUGUGUAAGUAACUGUGCACAUCUUGACGGUACCUAAUCAGAAAGCCACGGCUAACUACGUG